AGUGAACGCUGGCGGUAGGCCUAACACAUGCAAGUCGAACGGCAGCACAGUAAGAGCUUGCUCUUACGGGUGGCGAGUGGCGGACGGGUGAGGAAUACAUCGGAAUCUACUUUUUCGUGGGGGAUAACGUAGGGAAACUUACGCUAAUACCGCAUACGACCUACGGGUGAAAGCAUGGGAUCUUCGGACCUUGCGCGAUUGAAUGAGCCGAUGUCGGAUUAGCUAGUUGGCGGGGUAAAGGCCCACCAAGGCGACGAUCCGUAGCUGGUCUGAGAGGAUGAUCGGCCACACUGGAACUGAGACACGGUCCGGACUCCAACGGGAGGAAGCGGUGGGGAAUAUUGGACAAGGGGCGCAAGCCUGAUCCAGCCAUACCGCGUGGGUAAAGAAGGCUUUCGGGUUGUAAAGCCCUUUUGUUGGGAAAGAAAAGCAGCAGGUUAAUACCCCGCUGUUCUGACGGUACCAAAAGAAUAAGCACCGGCUAACUUCGU
rnacentral:rRNA from 1 species